GUUCCCACCUUCAAUUGCUUCGCUUUUCUCUAGUCACAUCGACCUAGAUGUAGAGGAAGACCAACAAAUGGAGUCGUUUGACCAUAUGAUGUCUCACUCCGUCACUGCUUAUGUGUGUUUCUUGCGUGAUAGAUGCGGAAGCGAUAGGUAGGUAAGCAAGGCGGAGGGUCGGGUGGCUCUAGCACUCCGGCGGCAAAGACAGGCCACCCUUUUAGAAGCGUUGAUACAACUGACUGGCGAUCGGUCACCACUACCACUAAUCUCCUUCUUCCACCGUUGCUUACGGUGUUCUCUUUUUCCUCUCCCAAUGAAAUUCAUUCUUUACAGGCAUCCCUUUUGAUCUUCCAACUUUUAUCUCUCCGUCUAUUCCACACUAUCUGGGUUUAUUUCCGGAUCUGACUUCAUUUUUUUUGUUCGUUUCCGACUUCUUGGGGUUUAUCCUUCCGCCUUGUCGUCAAGUGAGGGUUUAUCGAUUAAUUUUACCGUCCGUUUUUCAUUUCGAUUUUCUCCAUAAGGGUAACGUUUCACUUAAGGAUUUAUUUUCCCUUUUUUGAAAUCGCAAUUGGACUUGAAUGGCUGCUGGUCACCAGAUAUAUAAUAAUCUACUUCUUGUCUGAUGGGUCUAUUUCUUUUUCUUUUAUUUGAUUGGUUUUGAUUUCUGUUUGCUUAAGUAGCUUUCAGACCAUCAGCAAGAACAACUGUAGUCUCUACCUGUGGAGCUUUGGGAAUCAUGAAGAGAUAACGUCGAAGUUAUCAACGUCUCUCAAUUCCUGUGGAUAAAAACCCUCAAGGCAGCUUCAGUCGAGGACAUGAUUCAUAUAAGAGCAUCGUCUUCCUUUUUAUGACUUUCAAAUUUCAGUUCUUAUCCUUAUGGCACCAUAUUUGUGCUUAUGUUGGCUUUUUUUUUGGGCUGUUUGAAUCUCAGAUUGUUAAUGACUUCAUUUGAAGAUCAUUGAGCUUAGGAUUCCAGUUUGUUAAUAGGGUGAUAAAGGUACACCUUUGGCAAAUGUUAUUUUUUGGAGCGAGCUUUUGACUGAUACUAUUAAGGUGUUACAGUGAGUUAGGAUGGCGUUAUCUUGUAGCGAGCUGUUAGACAGGUCAAGAAACUUAAGGCAUACCAGCUUUAUGGUGAGGGCCAGGGGCGGAUCGACUUUAUGUUAAAGGCUGAAGGGAUGAGCAUCAUUAUGUUGAAGGCUAAUGUCAUUCCCCAAACCGGAACGACGGAAACAUUCGGGAGCGGAGGACGUCAUGCUCAGUAUCACAACACAUGCAUCAUAGUAAUCAAAGUAACAAACAACGAUUGCAUUAAUAUUAAAGUGUUUACAUGCAUUUGAUUCACAAAAGAUUUACUCCAAAACUAAUUAACAAAACAAAGACAUGAAGCUACUAUGCUCCAUCUUCUGAAUCACUGAGCGUGUACCUGUCUACUAGUUUCCUGAGAAUGCAAGUUAUUUUGAAAUAGUAGAUCAACAUUUAAGCUUGUGAGUCCAUAAGCAUUUUUGUUAUAAAAAGUAUACUUUAAGUUCUUUUAGAAAAGUUCGCAUGUUCCUCCAGAAAAUACUAUAUUUUCUGAUGUGAUGAAAAUAAGUAAAAACGACUCUUACAAUUUCCUCUAUGAGUACUUAAUGGAUACAAGUUAUAUACAAUCUAGAGUAAACAGACAAUCGAUUGUGUGAAUAUGCCCUAAGCCCAUAACCAAAAAAGGAACAAGAAAUGAGACGGAAGUCACACAUCCCAUUGUUUGUUAGAUCUUUAUUGUAUAUAACCCUAGCGUAUUCAAUAGGUGCUUACAGAGUUAACUCUAAUAGUUCUUUUAUAUUUGAAGAAAAUAUUCCUUAAGAAUAAUCAUAUAUUUCCUUUAGUAAAAAUGGUAACCACAAUAGUUCUUUCAAUAAUCACUGAGUUUAUACAAGCUAAAUGUAAUUUAAGAUCGAACGGACAGUUAAAUGUGUGAAUCCACCCUAAGCCCACAACAAAACAAGGAACAGGAAGUAAGGCGGAAGUCACACAUUUCACUGCCUAUUGGAUAUUAAUUAUUGUUGGAUAAGGUGUCUAAGUUUAUAACUAUUUCUGGUAUGUACUUGACCCGUUUUGGCAUGGUCCAUUUGGGUUGCAUGGCAUCAUGCAUUUGGAUAGACUAAAAUAAGAGAUAUAACACUUAAGGUUUAUUAAUAUAUUAUAAGUUCUAAUGUAUUAAUAAUAUUAUUUAGUAUUGAUCAAGAAUUAAUUUGGAAUUAAUUAGGUAAUCAGAAGGAGACUAAGUAAAUAUAUGGGUUGAUUGUGUAAAUCAUCCAUACUUAUAUAAUAAGCUAAUGCUUCAUGGAUUAUCAAGUUGGGCUAAAACCCAUAGGAUGCUCCAUGGAUGCUCCAUGGUGUUUAUAGAACCCAUGGGUCAUGGAAAUGAAAAGUCAUGACAAUUUGGGUUUACAUGGUGUAACCCUAAUUGUAACACACUAUAUAAGCUUAAUGUUCUUCACCAAAAUCAACCACUAAGAGAACAAGAGGGCAUAGCCAAUUUUAGAAGUGUUAUAUUUCUCUAAAGGUUAUUCCAAGUGUAUUUGGUGUUGUGUGAGACAUUUGAGGCAUCACACUUGAGGUGCUAGGUUCACAAGGUUCUCAAGGAAUUCAAGCAACUAAAGGUAUGUAUUUCUUACUAUCUUUUAUGUUUAAAAGUUCCGCAUGUACCCUAGAUAGGUUAUGAACCUUGGAAAAACAAAUUCUCAUGUAUCAUAGAUAAAACAUAGAUCCAAGGUUUCUAGGGUUGCAUGUAAUCCAUAGGAGUGUUUGAAUGCUCAAAACCCUUCAAUGGUAUCAGAGCCUAGGCUUGUUUAUUUGAUACUUGAUGCAAAUUGUUGAGAAAACUCAGUUUUUGUGCACUUUGCAGUUUGAACUCGCCGAGUCGAUGGGGGACUCGACGAGUCCAUGAGUAAACUCAUCCUACUCGUCGAGUAGGUUCUUGCACUCGA